rnacentral:rRNA from 1 species
AACGAACGGUGGCGGCGUGGAUAAUACAUGCAAGUCGAGGGGCAGCGCAGUGUAGCAAUACAUGGGCGGCGACCGGCAAACGGGUGCGGAACACGUACACAACCUUCCUUUUAGUGGAGCAUAGCCCAGGGAAACUUGGAUUAAUACUCCGUAAUAUAACGAGAUGGCAUCAUUUUGUUAUUAUAGAAGCAAUUCGCUAG